AUGCUUGAUCUUUUUCCAUUAUCCAUGGAACGUAUCGCCAUAUCAACUCCUCGCUCUUUACACUAGGACCACAAACCAACGAAUCAGAGAGCUUUGGCAGGCUCGUUCCAUGAUUUAUAAAACAACGCCAGACUAUGGUAUCGCUAGGGUGAAAGAAAAUUGUCAACUAAAGUUUCAUAAUGGAACCACUGUUCAACCUGUUGGGAUGAAAGUCAACGUGGAUUGAAUGUUCUUACUUUGCACUUCGGAUUUAAAGCGGGAACUUUUCGACAACAGCUCAGGAAAGAUUCCAAUGAGCUGGGGAAAAAAGAACAGGAAUGUUUGUCUCGAUGAAAACAGAAUGCAUGUAAGUACAGUCACGUUCUUAAAUGUCCAGUUUUGCUUGUAUUUGCAGUAACUACCGCGGUACGUGUCCCAAACUAUAGGGACCUUAAGAUACGCCAAAUCUAGAACGCGGACGUGAAAUAGCUAAUACUGUCUUCAUUUCCACAGUUUCACAACAGGAAUAAAAAUUAUGCACUCUUUUUGGUAAAAACAGAGCUGUAUGUAAAACUAAUUAAAACUGGGUUUCUAACAACUCCGGCUGAUUUCAUGUCAGUCCGCGUCGUAGAUUUGGUGUAUCUUAAGCCGGAUCUCUACUAUCAAUUCGACAACGACAUUUUAUGCGUGU